GCCGCCUUAUGACAGGAAGGACUGAAAUGUCUCGAAGACCUGUGGUCUUUCCUCGAUGUUCCUGCGGC
rfam:Neotoma lepida isolate 417 scaffold_4388, whole genome shotgun sequence.